UACGAAGGGGGCUAGCGUUGUUCGGAGUUACUGGGCGUAAAGGGCGCGUAGGCGGCGCACCAAGUCAGGCGUGAAAGCCCCGGGCUCAACCCGGGAAUUGCGCUUGAGACUGGUGUGCUCGAGUACGGGAGAGGAUAGUGGAAUUCCCAGUGUAGAGGUGAAAUUCGUAGAUAUUGGGAAGAACACCGGUGGCGAAGGCGGCUAUCUGGACCGUAACUGACGCUGAGGCGCGAAAGCGUGGGGAGCAAACAGG
rnacentral:rRNA from 1 species